rnacentral:lncRNA from 1 species
GAAGACGACUGGUCCACAACCUUUAAGCAGAUCCUGGAGAAUGGAACUCACGAUAAAGGUGAUGAGAUGAAGGACAUGUUGCAAAUCAGCCAGAGAAAUCUGGACAAACCCUCUCAUUUUGAUGACUGUACACUACUUCUAGAACAGAGGAUGACAAAAUCUCGUUCCCUCUCCAAGAUGAGCAUCUCUUCAGCUGGCAGCUCUAAUUAUCACCUCCACCGCGAGCCUUCUUACAGCCUGGAAGAUUCAGAGGAUGAUGAUGAUGAUGAAUCUGAGAUACAUGUCAUUUAUAGUCCUGCCCCACAUAGGGAGCACUCACCAGAUGAGGUUCCUCCACAGAUUAUUGAGCUCAACAAGCGCAUGUCAGCAAUUGAGACUCUUCUGAGCCGUUUGGAGCAGAAACUGACCUUACCAGUAACUGGGGCAGAACAAGUAAGUUUAAAGUA